CAGUCGCCACGGUAAUACGAAGGGUGCAAGCGUUACUCGGAAUUACUGGGCGUAAAGCGUGCGUAGGUGGUGGUUUAAGUCCGUUGUGAAAGCCCUGGGCUCAACCUGGGAAUUGCAGUGGAUACUGGGUCACUAGAGUGUGGUAGAGGAUAGUGGAAUUUCCGGUGUAGCAGUGAAAUGCGUAGAGAUCGGAAGGAACAUCUGUGGCGAAGGCGACUAUCUGGGCCAACACUGACACUGAGGCACGAAAGCGUGGGGAGCAAACAGGAUUAGAUACCCCUGUAGUCCCUGUCUCUUAUAU
rnacentral:rRNA from 1 species